CGGUAGCACGGGGGAGCUUGCUCCCUGGGUGACGAGCGGCGGACGGGUGAGUAAUGUCUGGGAAACUGCCUGAUGGAGGGGGAUAACUACUGGAAACGGUAGCUAAUACCGCAUAACGUCGCAAGACCAAAGAGGGGGACCUUCGGGCCUCUUGCCAUCAGAUGUGCCCAGAUGGGAUUAGCUAGUAGGUGGGGUAAUGGCUCACCUAGGCGACGAUCCCUAGCUGGUCUGAGAGGAUGACCAGCCACACUGGAACUGAGACACGGUCCAGACUCCUACGGGAGGCAGCAGUGGGGAAUAUUGCACAAUGGGCGCAAGCCUGAUGCAGCCAUGCCGCGUGUGUGAAGAAGGCCUUCGGGUUGUAAAGCACUUUCAGCGAGGAGGAAGGUGGUGAACUUAAUACGUUCAUCAAUUGACGUUACUCGCAGAAGAAGCACCGGCUAACUCCGUGCCAGCAGCCGCGGUAAUACGGAGGGUGCAAGCGUUAAUCGGAAUUACUGGGCGUAAAGCGCACGCAGGCGGUUUGUUAAGUCAGAUGUGAAAUCCCCGGGCUCAACCUGGGAACUGCAUUUGAAACUGGCAAGCUAGAGUCUCGUAGAGGGGGGUAGAAUUCCAGGUGUAGCGGUGAAAUGCGUAGAGAUCUGGAGGAAUACCGGUGGCGAAGGCGGCCCCCUGGACGA
rnacentral:rRNA from 1 species